GCAGUCGAACGAUGAUCUCCAGCUUGCUGGGGGGAUUAGUGGCGAACGGGUGAGUAACACGUGAGUAACCUGCCCUUGACUCUGGGAUAAGCCUGGGAAACCGGGUCUAAUACUGGAUACGACCUUCCCGCGCAUGCGGUGUUGGUGGAAAGCUUUUGCGGUUUUGGAUGGACUCGCGGCCUAUCAGCUUGUUGGUGGGGUAAUGGCCUACCAAGGCGACGACGGGUAGCCGGCCUGAGAGGGUGACCGGCCACACUGGGACUGAGACACGGCCCAGACUCCUACGGGAGGCAGCAGUGGGGAAUAUUGCACAAUGGGCGCAAGCCUGAUGCAGCGACGCCGCGUGAGGGAUGAAGGCCUUCGGGUUGUAAACCUCUUUCAGUAGGGAAGAAGCUGCUCUUUUGGGGUGGUGACGGUACUUGCAGAAGAAGCGCCGGCUAACUACGUGCCAGCAGCCGCGGUAAUACGUAGGGCGCAAGCGUUAUCCGGAAUUAUUGGGCGUAAAGAGCUCGUAGGCGGUUUGUCGCGUCUGCCGUGAAAGUCCGGGGCUUAACCCCGGAUCUGCGGUGGGUACGGGCAGACUAGAGUGCAGUAGGGGAGACUGGAAUUCCUG
rnacentral:rRNA from 1 species